AUUUUGUCUUGAGAGAUCAUAAAUCUUCUCUUGUUUAAAUCGUUCCUGCCUAUUUUGUAUGCCACCUUAUAUUUAUGGAGUGAUCUUUUUCAAAGAAAUCUGAUAUUUAAUUAACUUCUCCAUCACAGAACUUGAUUUUCGGUUUCCAAUUGGAGCCCCCAUACAUGGGAUUCUUGCGUUUUUAUCUACAAAUCAGAUCAAGACUUAUGAUAAAGCAAGAAAUGCAUUGGCUCUUGCAUUGAGUCCUGUCGUCAGGGCUCUGGUUGAUCCAGAUGGAGCAUUGAGUGAUGUGCGGAAUUUGGAUAGCAUAAGCUUCUCAGAUUGGUUCAUGUCCAAGGGUGGCACACGCACGAGUAUCCAGAGAAUAAUACAGUGGAUGAUCAGGACACAUGGUUUUCUAAUAAGGAAGCCACGCUGUUGAAAUCACAGAAAUUCACCCCUGAAUUUGAUUUCACAAACCUUAUAUUUUCCAAACAUUGUAAAUGUUCAUCUCUUCAAGGGAUGCUCAACGGAAUUCAUCAAUCAGAUUGUAUGUCCAAGAUUUUUCGUGUACCGCGGUCAAGCAUCUGUUUUCCUUACUGAAUUGUUGCCCAAGGCUGGGUGAUUGAAGCAGAGGAUAUAUAUGGUUCGUAUUUGAUUAGAAGGGCUGGGGGCUGACUAAAUAUGGAGGGGAAGGGGACAGAAGAAAGAAAAAAAGAAAAAAAAAAGAAAGGAAAAAUAAAGAAGAAGAGAGGAUGGGGACGAAGAAAAAGACGGGAAAGGAAGGGAAGAGAGAGUUGGAGAGUUUGGGUUUUUGUCGAAGGCAACCAUUUGGGUAUCUCUGGAUUUGAGGGGAGAGAAGCUAGAAGGUUUCUGUUGAUUUUCGGAAGCAAAGAUGAAGAAUUGAGAAUAUGAUCUCUUAGUGAAGGGGUUUUGCUUUGAGUUGGGUUGGUUGUUUCCGUUCUGCUCUAUGAUUCGAAAAGCAAACUGUGGAUGGAAGGAGGAGAUUUAGGAGAGGUGUUUCAGCCUUUGUUAUUCUUUUUUCUGCUAUUCAAAGCUUUGAGCCUUUUGGGUUUUCCUUUUUUGGCUGUUCUUGUUUUGGGUCUGCUUAAGAACUGAGAUUGGUUUUAUCCAGCCCAGACAUCUCAGAAUGUAUGCAGCAGUUCAUAAUAGUGGCGAACUGGCUUUGUGUAGACCUAGAGACAAAAGCUGGAGUGUCUACCAAGUAUUUGAAGAAAAUGAAAAUCUUGUCGAGAGAGUCAACAGAAUAUUGUUUUCCACUACUGGCGUGCUAUAUGCCUUGGUUACAGGUAACCGCAAUGGUCGUGGUGUUGAUGCAGACCGCACUUUAAAGUUCGGAGAUGAGGCAGUGAAAUUGAAACUGAUCUAUGACAUAGAGGAGUGGUGGAUUGAUGCAGGGGUUGAUCCGGUAGGGCUUUUGUGCAUGUCAUACUUGUUGGAAUCAACAAACAACGAAAUUUUAUUGAAACAUAAGCAACAUUAGAAGACAACAUUAGAAGACAUAAUGCUUUGGAACAAUGUGUAUCGGCCUUUGAUGUUCAAGUAGAUAGGGCAUAUAUGUAUUAGAAUGUAAAACGAGAUGUUGAAUGAUUGGGAAAUGCUCCAUUUUAACAUUUUUGGCAUAUGGAAUGGAUUGGAUUACUCAUUUGAAGGCU